ensembl:lncRNA
AUGACCUGGGGAGGAAUCAGUUGCCAUGGCAAGGCUGUUUUCACCAGCAGGCUUGUGACAACUGUAAAAUGUUUUCCAGCCUCAGUUUCAAACAGAGUCAUCCUGACUCAUUCUUCAGAGGAUCUGGGGACACAGCAGCACAAGUGUGAGGGAGGCUGGGGAGAGAUUUUCAGAAAGGGCAGAGUUCUUUCAGUUGGGUGUGAAGCUGGAUGGAGGACAAGCGCGGCUGCAAAAGAAAGCCAGCAAAGUCAGAUGAAAAUGGAUCAGGGCCUCGACAAAAGCCGGGACACGAAACAGAACAAGGUAAGUCCCAAAAGCACAUCUCUACAACAAACCUUAGGCAAACCGCACAUCUCUCAGCAUCAGAGGAAGGCAAUGGCAACCUUCCUCCCUUGCAAAGAAGACUUGGUUAGAUUCCCCACAGUGACAUCCCUUCAUAUGUCUCUAAGUAAAGGCAGAACCUCAACAUAGAGGAAGGCAAUCAAAGGAUGACUGUUGUGAGAAAUGGUCUUCAGAGUUUAAUUCCUUAUUGAAAGUUGAGAAGGAAGCUAUUUGUGAGAAGUUCCUUGUCCUUUCUCAAGAGACAUUCACACCACAGAUGGUUUCGGUUUUCCUUUCAUCUCUCAUGCCAGUCACAAGAUAUUUUGAUGCCUGAGGCAAAGAACUGCAACUUUCUUCAUUCAGUAUACAGACCUGGAGUAACAAUUGAAUGUUACUUUAACCUCAAUGUCCCUCAAAAUAUUUAACUGCAGGAAGUUAGUUUAAACUACUCUGUCCUAUAGCAGGAGUGAGUGUCUACACUGGCAGUGGUUCUCAACCUGGGGUCCCCAGGUGUUUUGGCCUACAACUCCCAAAAAUCCCAGCCAGUUUACCAGCUGUUAGAAUUUCUGGGAGUUAAUAAUAAUAAUAAUAAUAAUAAUAAUAAUAAUAAUAAUAAUAAUAACAACUUUAUUUUUAUACCCCACCUCUAUCUCCCCAAAGGGGACUGAGGGUGGCUUAUAUGGGGGCCAAGACCGAAUAAAAACAAUCUAUAUAUAUAAAAGAGUGAUGGCAUCAUGGCGACCCACAAAACAACAAAACUACAGGCCCCCCAACCUCGAAAUUUGACAACACAACCCAUCAUCCACGCCUCUAGGUUGAUACAACAAAAAGAAAAAUAAAGUCCUAAUUAGAGAGAGAGAGGAAUCAUUGCUUUUAUCCAAUUGCUGCCAGUUAGAAGACUAAGCUCCUCCAACUUGGUCUCCUAGCAACCCAAAAUAAAUAAAUAAAUAACAUUAAAAAAUUAAUACAAUAAAAUACUAUAAUAACAGAAAAUAACUAAAAAUAAUACAAGAAAAUAAUAAAAUAUAAUAAAUAAAAAUAUAACUUACAAUAAAAUUAAUUUUAAAAAUGCAAAUAACAUCAAAUAAAAAUUACACAACAAUUUUUAACCAAUACCACCACCACUUUGCCACAGCAACACGUGGCCGGGCACAGCUAGUAGCAAUAUAAAACACAACAAUAGACAAAAGACAUGCACAAUUAUAAAAAUUUAAACAUUAGCCAAUAAAAACAAAUGACAAGAACUAAUGAAAACAUGGAUUAAAACGGAGAGGUUGUAAAAGUAGACUGGGUAAGGUGCACCAUAUAAAUAUUGUAAACAUGAGGUGAUUGAUAAAGUGCUGCAAAUUCUUGGAAGUGCAAAUUGGGAUGGGAAUAGACCCUGUGUCUAUAUCAAGUUGACAAAGGUAAAAAGUGCAAACCGGUACAAGAAUGGUCACAGAUGCAGAUUGUUAUGGGGAUGAGCAAUCUUUAUCCAAAGGCCUGAGUAAAGAGCCAGGUUUUCAAGCUCUUUCUGAGUUGAAGGCCAAAACAUCUGGGGACCCACAGGUUGAGAACCACUGGAGGAAUGACAACAGAUGCUAUGCUAGCCAGUGUUUGCCUUACUAUUCUUAAUGGUAGAAAUGGCCUCCCAUCAUCAGCACCACUCCUGCAUUGGAUGCAUUGGAAGCACAGUGUCAGACUUGCGUAUUUGUAAGUUUUCUUUAUGACUAGGAAAAUGGUCUAGGCUUUCACAGAAUUGUUAUACACAGCUGAAACAUUUUAAGAGAUGCCUUGUGUCCCUGGCUUGCAUCUUUUACAAGUAGUAGACUUAAUGUCAAGGGAAACCCUUACCUUUACCUUGGUGAUACUGUGGGUGAGAUGGAGAACUCAGGGUCUCAAGAUCAAAGUUGCAAAGCCAUUCAAAGACUUCUUUUUAUUUCUUUUCCAUUUCAUAAGGGAUGGGGGAGUACAUUCACCAUAAUAAAACAUUAAAAAUAAAGAUAUUUGCUCUGUUAAUAUGUUACAGAACUGGACAGCUCUUUCUGACAAGAGUUACCUAUAAUGCAUGCUCACAUUUGGAGGAAUGCAAGUCAAAUUUAAUAGAGGAUUCCAGUUCUGUGCACUUUUGUGUAUGUGCUAGGAAAUAUUUCCCUCCUUUCAAUAGCCACUUGUUUUGAUGUGACAGCUUGUUUGCAUUUUCCAUGUGCUGUUGGUUUGUUCUGUCUAGUAAAUAUUUUGUCAGGCUGCUCUGCGUGUGUCUUUCUCUAUGUACAUCAUAAAAGUGUCAAGCCUGUUAACUGAUUCUGGGAAAUCUAAAGAAACACAAGCAUAAUUAAUGGUGGUUCCUUUUGCAAAUUCUGACCAGUCUAAGAGGGGGAAUACUAACAAGAUUUUAGGGAGGGAGAUUGAUCUCUUGAUAACUGCCAGGAAUUACAUGACAGCUGUUAAGUCUGAUAAGCCUGGUGCAUAGUCUUUAUUUUUAUUUAGUUAAAAAUAAAUGUCAAUGCUUUCCUACUUCACAAGACCUCAACGUUGUUUUAAAAGCGAAAUAUCACCAAAACUGUUUAAGUAAUUAUCAAACAGAAACAGGUUAAAAAAAAAGAACAGCAGAAUACAAUUUUUUUGUCUCAAUUAUUUUUUAAAAUAAAAGAGAUAUGUGACUAAUUAAUGGAACAUGGUUCUGUUAGCUGGGGUAGAUUAGUUAUCUUCAUAAGUUGAAAUCGACUCAAUGGCAAAUAACAAUCUAAAGAUGCUGUUGUCUGGCACUUUCUUCAUGCAAGACAUAAGUUGUGCACAGGGUGACAACCCGUCUGCAAAGUUACUCUUCUUGGUUCUAUUACUAUAGCUGAUCAUAUAUAAGUAUAAAUUUUCAAGCUUGUAGUAAGACUAUUUGUCCAUCUAGCCUAUAUUGCAUGCUGCGAUGGCAGCUCUGAAGGAUUUCUGGCAGAGGCCUUUCCCCAUCACCCGCAAAAUAACUGUAAAAGAGGACCUCCCAGUAGGCCAGUUUGGAUCUAAAACUAUCUUCCUAUUAUCAUUAGGAGAGACUCCAUUUGUAUUUCCUGUCUUGAUUUCUUUUUCCCGGAAGUAGUCUUUUCAGCCUAUUAUGUUUCACUGAUCUUGUGAUUUCUAGCCAGCAUCAUGUGUCCCAUGGACAUUUUGGGAAGAGUAAUCCUUCUCAUUGGAAGCUCCAGAAACAUCUAUUUCAGUCCCAUCCACUGUCCAGACAAACAUCCCCAUCAUCAUAUUUUCCUUUGCUCGUCUUGUCUGUUGAUGUCAGAAUGCCGUGCCUGUGUGGCCAGCAAGAAGGGGGGGGCACUCUACCCCCUCUUUUCUGAACACAUGGAUCCCCAAUUUUGACAGCAGCAGACAUGACAAGUGACAGCCGGGUGCUCACAGGGAGCUCCAUGGAUGGUAAGAGGAGGCAGCAGGACAAGGGGACAGGGCAGCAUUGGGAUGGGAUGUACCGUCUGGACACUGUUCCCAGAUUCAGCAGGUAUUGCUGAAUCUGGGGCAACCCCAGGGGAGAAAUAUCCUGGAGUAACCUGCCUGGUCUAUGUUCUAGAAAAAAUACUAAUGAUAACACUGAUUUUUUUUCUCUACAAAGGGUGCUUCUACAUAGACCAUAUAAUGCAAUCUAAAGCUGGCUCGAGGACACAUGUUCACAAAACUCACACUGUCAAUGCAUGCUGCAGCAUGCGUCAGGCCAAAAAUAGCCCAUUUUAAAAAACUCACCAGAAAAUUCAGAACAAGCCAGGUAAUAUGCUGCAGCUGAUUGGAGGGAAUGAAACUGGGUAAUCCCAAAUGGACAUGAUUAUGUGCAUCAACUGUAAUGCCUCAUGGGCCUUGUAGUCCUGCUCCCAGUGCCACCGUGGCUGAUGAAGAUGAAAACAUGGGGUUUUUGCCGGCUCAGCAAGAGCCGGAAUCUUUCCAGAUGCCUGAUGUUGAUGUUUUUGCCCAAGAACCCAUUAAAACAGACCUUGAGCAGUUCUCACCCCCUUUUGUUAGGAGACAAUCCUAUACUGCGGGAAGGGGAGAGAAGGAGCAGGUUCGGAGGAGUUUGAGACUUGCAGCUAAACAAGACACUGAUUAGCCAUGUUCCCCUGGGAAAAUCUAGGGAGUCUCACAUCUGGAGAGAGCUGUGUUUCGUUUCCUGUUCCCUAGGGAAAGGGAACGCUGGACACCUGCUUUGCAGGAAAACAAGACCUAGUUAAAUGUGCCUGGCACGGUAGGUUCCGUGCGGAGUCAACAGAGCAGCUUCAGGAGUGAUUUCGUGUUUCCAGCCUAGUGUGGACUUCGCAAAGUCCGCAACCCCAGUCUCCUUGCUUUGCCUAACCAAGUAUUCAAGAAUUGCCUUGCCUUGUUCCUAGCCACGGACCUUGUUCAUGGAAUCAAGUUUUGUUUCAGCCUUGUUGUGGAUUUACCUCGGACCUUGAAAGACUCUGGACAUUUCCCCACACUAUUGCUUGGCAAUAGUGUGUGUUUCAGUUUGUUGGAUUCUACUUUGAACUCUAAUAUCAUUUAUUGGACAAAACAUUUCUGGACUAUAUUUGACCUCAUCUGAUAGGUCUGCUUCUGGACUAUAUUUUCUACUUGUUUUUAUUAUUCUUAUAUAUUUGCUUAAUAAAGAUAUUAGAUAGUUAUUGGCCUCUGUGUUCGGUUCUUAGUGCUCCGUUGCCUAGGGCGUGACAUCAACACACCAUCAGCAAAUACUGUGGCUACCAUUCCAGUCUCAAACGGGUUCCUGGGGUGUUUUGUGUUUGUUUUUAUCCACUUUCAAACUGG